AAGAAGAAGAAAAACAAGUAGUAAGUCAAAAACAAGAGAAGACAACACAGUCAACACUCACAUGCUGAAAACCCACCAACUUCCUAAAUAAGGAGAGAAUGUGCCCGUUUUGAACAAGAACGUUUAGCAGCACAACAUAUUUGCUCCUAUGGAAAACCAUGGAAGUAGUUCUCCGGAUAGCUUAAACAUUCUUUCAGCUUGCAGCUUUAAGUCAAGCACACACUAAAACAAUUACAGAAGAAGAUUUUGUGGUAACAGAUGAGGAAAUGGAGGCCCAGAGUUACCAAGGUUAUAGAAGUAGAAGGUUAUAGAAGCCUGAAGGUUGUUACAUUUGUUUUUUAAACUGAUUAGACAGCAAAACGAUUUUCAAUACAAUUUUGUCUUAAAGCUUCAUGUAUACACACA